rnacentral:rRNA from 1 species
UGGUGGAGUGAUUUGUCUGCUUAAUUGCGUUAACGAACGAGACCUCGACCUACUAAAUAGUUGACUUUAUUUUCUUUUGGAGAUAAGAGUGUAACUUCUUAGAGGGACUAUCGGUUCUUAGCCGAUGGAAGUUCGAGGCAAUAACA